rnacentral:lncRNA from 1 species
UUUCUGUUUGUUAGUUUUCCUUCUAACAGACAGGACCCUCAGCUGCAGGUCUGUUGGAAUACCCUGCCGUGUGAGAUGUCAGUGUGCCCCUGCUAGGGGGUGCCUCCCAGUUAGGCUGCUCGGGGGUCAGGGGUCAGGGAACCACUUGAGGAGGCAGUCUGCCCGUUCUCAGAUCUCCAGCUGUGUGCUGGGAGAACCACUGCUGUCUUCAAAGCUGUCAGACAGGGACAUUUAAGUCUGCAGAGGUUACUGCUGUCUUUUUGUUUGUCUGUGCCCUGCCCCCAGAGGUGGAGCCUACAGAGGCAGGCAGGCCUCCUUGAGCUGUGGUGGGCUCCACCCAGUUGGAGCUUCCUGGCUGCUUUGUUUACCUUAGCAAGCCUGGGCAAUGGCGGGCGCCCCUCCCCCAGCCUCGCUGCCGCCUUGCAGUUUGAUCUCAGACUGCUGUGCUAGCAAUCAGCAAGACUCCGUGGGCGUAGGACCCUCCAAGCCAGGUGCGAUAUAAUGUCGUGGUGCGCCGUUUUUUAAGCUGGUUGGAAAAGCGCAGUAUUCGCGUGGGAGUGACCCGAUUUUCCAGUGAGAUGAACCCGGUACCUCAGAUUGAAAUGCAGAAAUCACCCGUCUUCUGCGUCGCUCACGCUGGGAGCUGUAGACCGGAGCUGUUCCUAUUCGGCCAUCUUGGCUCCUCCCUCAGUUCUGGAGACUGGGACAUCCAAGGUCAAUGUGCUGGCAGAUUCAAUGUCUGGAGUGAAAUACAUCACCGCUUUCCCUGCUCCCGCCGCCAUUAAAAUUGUGUUUGGCAUCUGACCACCAAGAUACAGAUAUUUCCUAGACUGUUUUGCAGCUAGGUACUUAGGAGUAACAUGAUGUGAUUUCAUUUGUUAAUGAAUCUCAUUCUUACUAAUACAUGGAGAGUGGAUUGGAGGCCAGAGUGGAAGUAGAGACCAGUUGAAAAGGCAGUAAUAAUGUUUGGAGUUGGUCGGAGAAGACCCUUUCCCAUUCUCUUUUGCUCCAGACCUUCCCAAAACGCAACCACUCAAGUUUUACAGGGUAAUUUUGGAGAAUGUCCCAUGUAUCCAAGAAUGUGUUUUCUGCAGCUGCUGCAUAAAAUGUGUUGGUGCAAACAAAACAUGUCUGCGGUGGUCAACAGAAAGGCAAAUUAUUCCUGGAUGGAAUCGAUAAAAUUUGGAGGUAGAUAAAAAUGCAAUGCAGAUAUAAAAACUGAGUCCCUGCUGUAUUGGCGAGUUCUGUAGAAUUAAUGUUAACGUUAUAAAAUUAGUUCCAAAAUUUAAUAAAAGCCUGAACUUAUGAUGUUAAAGAUUAGUCACUGAUCAUACUGUUAAUAUUUUAACAAAAAAUUCUAAUAAUUGAAUAUUUCUCUUUUGUACCAAUAAGUAUGUAAUCUGUUGUCAUUGCCUAUUUGUGUUACUUUAGCCACAUAUUGUAAUUAAAUAUGCU